GAAAUGCGAUAAGUAGUGUGAAUUGCAGAAUUCAGUGAAUCAUCGAAUCUUUGAACGCACAUUGCGCCCCUCGGUACUCCGUGGGGCAUGCCUGUUCGAGCGUCAUCUACACCCUCAAGCUCUGCUUGGUGUUGGGCGUCUGUCCCGCCUCCGCGCGCGGACUCGCCCCAAAUGCAUUGGCAGCGGUUCCUUGCCCCCCUCUUUGCGCAGCACAUUGCCAUUCGAGGCGGCGGCGGCCCGCGUCCAACAAGCUCAACCCCCCCGUCUUUGACCUCGGAUCAGGUAGGGAUACCCGCUGAACUUAAGC
rnacentral:misc_RNA from 1 species